rnacentral:rRNA from 1 species
CACGUAGGGUGCAAGCGUUGUCCGGAAUUAUUGGGCGUAAAGGGCUCGUAGGCGGUCCGUCACGUCGGGAGUGAAAACUCGGGGCUCAACCCCGAGCCUGCUUUCGAUACGGGCGGACUAGAGGUAGGUAGGGGAGAACGGAAUUCCUGGUGUAGCGGUGGAAUGCGCAGAUAUCAGGAGGAACACCGGUGGCGAAGGCGGCAUCCUGGACCGGUAUUGACGCUGAGGCGCGAAAGCCAGGGGAGCAAACGGG